rnacentral:lncRNA from 1 species
GUUUUUGUCUUUAUUUUGUUUUACUGCUGUUUUUCCUUUUAUCCUAUGAGCCGGGGGUCGAUUGGAAACAACCUCUCUGCUCUUUCGGGUAGGGAUAAGGCUUAUCUACAUAUUACCCUCCCCAGACCCCACCUGGUGGGAGUAUACUGGGUAGUUGUUGUUGUCUUUCUACUUGUGUAUGACAUGUGAGUAGUAUGGGUAUUUAUUUACGCAGCUGCAACCUUUAAAUCCUGGUAUAGAAGUCAUAAACAACAAAGAACUUGAAAUAUGCCUUAGUAAAGGAGUGUGCUGAUGGGAGGGUACUCUUAUGGGUGGGAGUUUAAAAAGUUUAAUUUCCUUCCUUUUUCCCUGUUUUUGCUUGUCUCACUUCCUUCUUCCCUUCAGAUAUCUAAUUUUUCGGCCACCUCAAUGCUUAAAAGUGAUUUCUUAUACUUUAAUUGAAAUAUCAUCUAUUGCACCUGGUUAUAGAGCUUUUGUGGUUUCAGAUAGUUGUCUGUAGGUCACAAAGAGUAGCUGUAAAGCAUGCUGGUAAUUCUGCUGAAACUGAGCCAGCAAUCUGCUUACAUAUUCAUUGUGGUUCUCCAGCUUGUUAGGUGGAAUAGGAUAGAAAAAUUGUAGGUUCUUCUUUAAAAGAUACAAAACAAUCUAAUUUCCAUGUUGUGGCUGUAGCAAAUGCUGCCAUCUUUGCUAGCUAUAAGAAUGGUGAGUAGGGGAUACCGUGGAACAAAUUGAUUGUGGAGUUACUAAUAUAAGUCUGGGUAAUUACAGAAGUUGGAGAUAAAUGGCUACCACCAUGUCUAGCAUGCACGUCUAAUCUAGUCCUCAUAUCCGCACUGGCUAGCUUCUACUUAGUUAGCCUUCUUCACCAGACUAUUCCAUCUCCAUUAUUUCUCCUUUCCAGUUUCCACUUAAAAUUUCAAGAGACAAUUGAUGGACAGACUGCAACUUGUUUCCAUUUUUUCUAUUUAUUGCUUCAGUAUUAACCAAAGACUUAUAUUAACGUAGUUAAAGAGCAGACCAGUAAUUGUCCAUAGUUGGUAAAACUGAUGGGCUUAAUAUAAUGAUAGUCCUCAUUAACACAAUUUUGUUACUAUGGCGAAAUUGAUGGGCUUAGUAUUUGUUGCCAUGGAAACCACCAUUACUAGGUUUGUUAUUAGGAGAGUUUGCAUUUCCAUUAAUGCAAUGUUGAGCAUGCUAUACACCAUAGCCUAAUUUGCUGCACAAUGAGCCGGCAAGAAAUUUUUGAACUCAUGUGCAGAUUUGUUCUAUCACCUAUGCGCUGUGCCAUCUCUUGCUGAUUGCUUGGGUUUCAGCAGAGCUAUUAAAAGGUAGGUCUCUUAAUUUUACUGUUUCCUAGCUGUGGAGAUAAUGGACUUAAAUUAUGUGUUCUAUGAAAUCAAUGUUCAUGUACCUUUGCAGAUGAAGAGAAUGUCUGACAGUCUGAAGUCCAUUAGAAGGAACAGUAUGAAGUUGUCUUACUAAGUGUUCAAAAUUGCUUGGCACUGGGAUCAAUAGAUUGACAUCAAUGCUUCAUUAGGAGAUGAAAGAACAUGUGCUUCAAGAAGGGAUGAUUCACAUGCUCUCAAACUAGUAACUCACGUUACUUGAAGAGUAUAUGGAUCUUAGAGCAAAUGUUCGCAUUAUCUCAUAAAAGGUGAUGGAAAACACCAAUCAAAGUCUAAAAGACCGAAAAACCACCAAACAAAAUCUAUGCUGUCAGAGUCUAAGACCGUAGUAGUCAACACAUCCUUUCACCCAAUAUCCUAGAAAUGAGUACUUAGGUACCAGAUAUGAUUGAUGGAGUAACUUGUGGUAACGGGAUAUACAUGUUUUCAGUGGUAUGGAGAAAAUGUAACAUAGAUCUAUUUAUUAUCGCGUCUGGUGAAACUCUCUUAUGAGUUGCUAGAGGUCUAACAGUAUCUGCUUAUUCAUGGCUGAUAAGAAUUUCCUAGGCACCGAACAUUUGCUUAUGAUCUGUGUAUAGCCAAUACGGAACUAGGAUAGUAUUAUGAUCUUUCUUCGGUCAUACUCUUGUUGUAAUAUUUCUUUGAAUGUGCUAAAUUUGAGAUUCCCCUGGUCACUUUCAUUUUACACUGUCCACUUAGCCACCUCAUUUUUCUCACUGCUUACCCACAGCAGAUCUCGGUGCUGUCCAGAGGUCUGGAAUUUUGUUUCGGCCGGAAAUUUUUCUGGCAACCCCUGCACUUCUCCUUUUCCUUUUUAGUCUCUCCUCUGCUUUUGUGGGUGUGUUCUGUUUUAUUGGACAGGUGCCUAUUUCGCCGGUGAGGAUCUCCGGCAACUCUCGUUCAGACUCGCGGCAGGACGCAAUAGAGCUGCACGUUCUGCUAAGCUUCAGGAAAACUUGGGCGCAUCAAAGCACACUUUGUCCACUUAGCCACCUCAUUUUUCUCACUGCUUACCAACAGCAGAUCUCGGUGCUGUCCAGAGGUCUGGAAGUUUUGUUUCCGCCGGAAAUUUUUCUGGCAAUCCCUGCACUUUUCCUUUUUACUCUCUCCUCUGCUUUUGUGGGUGUGUUCUGUUUUCUUGGACAGGUGCCUAUUUCACCGGUGAGGAUCUCCGGCAACUCUCGUUCAGACUCGCGGCAGGACGCAAUAGAGCUGCACGUUCUGCUAAGCUUCAGGAAAACUUGGGCGCAUCAAAGCACACUU